GACAUCACAAUGCGCUCAGGACUGGCCCUUGCACAUGUGAGCUAGAGGGGCCUUUGGUGGCCUGCAGGGACUGCAACUGACAUGUGAGAUCUCCAACAACUGAGGAUUUGAUGAAGACAGUUCAGGAACGAGGUCUUGGUGAAUCAUCUCUGUCUGCACCCCAGUAUUUGGAGUGCAAAAGCUCCAACAGAUAACUACUGUAUCAUGAUUGUGAUUGGCUGGAUACUUUUUGUCGGACUUGCAUGUUAUCUGGGGGCAUUUCCUGAAGUAAUGCGUCCAACACUAAAAUGGAUAGAGAGACAGCCUGUCCAGCCUAUUUGUGAGCGCAAACAUCGACUAAGAAGUGUGAUUUUUGAUGAAAAUAAGAACAUACCCAGGUGGAAAUAGGCAGAGAAGAUCCUGGUGAACCAAUGCAACUCUGAAGCUAAACCUGGCCAGCUGUAUGGUUCCUCCUGUUGGUUUCGCAUAAAGCAAUUUGGGAAGACUAAAAGGAAGUGUGGGGAAUCAAAGAAUGUACACAGAAAGUUCUGUUCAAAGAAAUGAAUAUAAUGAUGACUAAGAACCCUUAAAGGACUCCUCCUGGACCCCCGACCCCCCCCAACCCCUCCUAAGACAAUAAAGGUCAAUGGAGAAUGUGUCCCAUGAGUAGAUGUGUCAUCAACGUUCUACCAUUUUCAGUUAACAGGUUAAAGUCCAGGCUUUUCGCUCUAUAACAUCAUUUCAUGGUUCAAUUCUCUUGCUGACUUCUUGAGACUUAAAUUAUUCUUUGGAAGCUAAGUUUUCUUGCUAGAAGUACAUGAAAAAA